AGUGAACGCUGGCGGUAGGCCUAACACAUGCAAGUCGAACGGCAGCACAGUAAGAGCUUGCUCUUACGGGUGGCGAGUGGCGGACGGGUGAGGAAUACAUCGGAAUCUACUUUUUCGUGGGGGAUAACGUAGGGAAACUUACGCUAAUACCGCAUACGACCUACGGGUGAAAGCAGGGGAUCUUCUGACCUUGCGCGAUUGAAUGAGCCGAUGUCGGAUUAGCUAGUUGGCGGGGUAAAGGCCCACCAAGGCGACGAUCCGUAGCUGGUCUGAGAGGAUGGUCGGCCACACUGGAGCUGAGACACGGUCAAGACUCCUACGGGAGGCAGCAGUGGGGAAUAUUGGACAAUGGGCGCAAGCCUGAUCCAGCCAUACCGCGUGGGUGAAGAAGGCCUUGGGGUUGUAAAGCCCUUUUGUUGGGAAAGAAAAGCAGCAGGUUAAUACCCCGCUGUUCUGACGGUACCCAAAGAAUAAGCACCGGCUAACUUCGUG
rnacentral:rRNA from 1 species